UUACUUUGGCAGCACACAUACCAGAACUGAAAGGAUAUAGAGAAGAUGAGCUGGCCCCCGUUCCAGGGUGACAUGCAAAUUCACAAAGCGUUCCGUAGUUCU
ensembl:snRNA U6 U6 spliceosomal RNA